UGCCUGCCAGUAUAACUUCAAGAUCGUAGUUAUACCAAUACUUGUAUCGUAGGCAGAUCAUCAGACAGAUACAGUACCACUGAGACAAACUACUCUCAUUGUGAGAGACUGAAUCAGAAGAUCAGAUCGAAGAAGUUACUGGAGCAUACGAUCAGCACACAGCACUCUUCAUUGGCAGGCCUCUUCUCCCUGAGAUACUCAUGGAUUUAAUGAUUCAAGAUAUGGACUCAAAAGACCUUAUUGAAGGCAAAGACAAGACUCACUGAGGUCAAGUUUGCUAUUAAAGGAAGAACUCUGCUUCUUUGGGAUUAAAUAAUUUUCUUUUGUGGACUGUGCCUGUGGAACAUCUGGUCAGAACAGAAGCAUGGCCAGGAGGCUGAAGGGAAGCUGAAUAAAAGCUGAAGAUGAGGAAGCCAAAGCACAGAACAGUGAAAUAACAAGCUGGAGUGACUGGAGGAGCUGCCUGCCUGGGUCUGACUGCUUCUCUCAUGAUAGGAACCCACCUCCACUGCUGCCAUCAUUGGAUUCCAGGAGUACAGCUUAUGCUGCUCAUGGCACCCCAUAAAGGGGCUCACCCCCAGUAGAGAUGUUUCUGAUACAUGGAUUUGGGGUAUGUCCAGCUUCUCCUCCUGCUGGCCAGCCUUCCUGACCAAGGGCAACCCCGGGGCUACCACCAGGUGAUUCACCAAAAUUCACAAGUUGCCACUACUAAGCAGGACACCUUCCACAGAUGUCAGUACCAGCUUCUUCAGCAAAUGAAUGUUUGAAAGAUGCUGGAGUUGUGUACCUGCCGUUCCUGAAAAGACUCCUUGAUGGUUCUCACAAGAAUGGAGGAAAAGGGGAGAGGACUGUAAAACCCCAGGAAUUUGAAUAACUUGGAAAUUGACAAAAAGAUAAAAUCACCCCUCAUCAGAGGUAAGGCAGCAGAACAUUCUGGAAUCCUUUGUGCACGUAGCUGGAGUAAGAUGCCAGAUCCGGGCAUCUCACCCAAGUUCGCCACUAUGACAUGUACAAAUCUUAACUGCUGAGCUGAACACCUGCCCCAAAAUUCAACUCUUAUUUGGCAAGGUUUAUCAUUUUAAGCAAAUUUGAUUAAACAGAUGGAAUUCCACGCAGUGGAAAGUUGUGAAGGCGGACACCAAUAGCACAUGCAUCACCACCAGCGAACAAAGCGGUGGGAAGUAACUGAAGAGGAAGGUGGCAGGAUGGUUUUUGGCUUCUAACCUUGAAACAACAAUCUCUGCUGUGUGCAGCCUUGAUAUUCAAAAUCCAGGUUCUUACCCCAGGAAUAAUUGUUUUCACUAGUGAAAUGCUGAAGUUCCGAACCAUCAGAGAAAGGAGAGGGUGGUUGCCUGGAAAACAGCUCAUACACUCCCUGAACAUUUCUCUCAAGCAGUAAUUAUUUUGUGAAUGUGAAGAGUGCACUGGGAACCCACUAUAAUGUCAGGGCUUUUUUUUUUUUUCUGAAUAAAAGUGACUGAAGUGUUUGAUAAAGAUUCUUCUUCUUUUUGUACAGCAACAUAAUGGAGAUGUCAAAAGUCAGCCAAAGAUUUAAGUAGAAUAUUUUGGAAAGUUUGGCAUGACCUAAUUUUAGUUAAGUGGAAAUAUUUCUA